CGGAGGGAAACCGAGUCUUAAUUGGGCGUUAAGUUGCAGGGUAUAGACCCGAAACCCGGUGAUCUAGCCAUGGGCAGGUUGAAGGUUGGGUAACACUAACUGGAGGACCGAACCGACUAAUGUUGAAAAAUUAGCGGAUGACCUGUGGCUGGGGGUGAAAGGCCAAUCAAACCGGGAGAUAGCUGGUUCUCCCCGAAAGCUAUUUAGGUAGCGCCUCGUGAAUUCAUCUCCGGGGGUAGAGCACUGUUUCGGCUAGGGGGCCAUCCCGGCUUACCAACCCGAUGCAAACUGCGAAUACCGGAGAAUGUUAUCACGGGAGACACACGGCGGGUGCUAACGUCCGUCGUGAAGAGGGAAACAACCCAGACCGCCAGCUAAGGUCCCAAAGUCAUGGUUAAGUGGGAAACGAUGUGGGAAGGCCCAGACAGCCAGGAUGUUGGCUUAGAAGCAGCCAUCAUUUAAAGAAAGCGUAAUAGCUCACUGGUCGAGUCGGCCUGCGCGGAAGAUGUAACGGGGCUAAACCAUGCACCGAAGCUGCGGCAGCGACGCUUAUGCGUUGUUGGGUAGGGGAGCG
rnacentral:rRNA from 1 species